rnacentral:rRNA from 1 species
GAUGAACGCUGGCGGCGUGCUUAACACAUGCAAGUCGAACGGAAAGGCCCAAGCUUGCUUGGGUACUCGAGUGGCGAACGGGUGAGUAACACGUGGGUGAUCUGCCCUGCACUUCGGGAUAAGCCUGGGAAACUGGGUCUAAUACCGGAUAGGACGAUGGUUUGGAUGCCAUUGUGGAAAGUUUUUUCGGUGUGGGAUGAGCUCGCGGCCUAUCAGCUUGUUGGUGGGGUAAUGGCCUACCAAGGCGUCGACGGGUAGCCGGCCUGAGAGGGUGUACGGCCACAUUGGGACUGAGAUACGGCCCAGACCCCUACGGGAGGCAGCAGUGGGGAAUAUUGCACAAUGGGCGCAAGCCUGAUGCAGCGACGCCGCGUGGGGGAUGACGGCCUUCGGGUUGUAAACUCCUGUCGCUAGGGACGAAGCGUUUUUGUGACGGUACCUGGAGAAGAAGCACCGGCUAACUACGUG